AGCUUGCUCCUUUGACGUUAGCGGCGGACGGGUGAGUAACACGUGGGCAACCUGCCCUAUAGUUGGGGAUAACUCCGGGAAACCGGGGCUAAUACCGAAUAAUCCAUUCCAUCUCCUGAUGGAAUGUUGAAAGAUGGUUCUGCUAUCGCUAUAGGAUGGGCCCGCGGCGCAUUAGCUAGUUGGUGAGGUAACGGCUCACCAAGGCGACGAUGCGUAGCCGACCUGAGAGGGUGAUCGGCCACACUGGGACUGAGACACGGCCCAGACUCCUACGGGAGGCAGCAGUAGGGAAUCUUCCACAAUGGGCGAAAGCCUGAUGGAGCAACGCCGCGUGAGUGAAGAAGGUUUUCGGAUCGUAAAACUCUGUUGUAAGGGAAGAACAAGUACAGUAGUAACUGGCUGUACCUUGACGGUACCUUAUUAGAAAGCCACGGCUAACUACGUGCCAGCAGCCGCGGUAAUACGUAGGUGGCAAGCGUUGUCCGGAAUUAUUGGGCGUAAAGCGCGCGCAGGCGGUCCUUUAAGUCUGAUGUGAAAGCCCACGGCUCAACCGUGGAGGGUCAUUGGAAACUGGAGGACUUGAGUGCAGAAGAGGAAAGUGGAAUUCCAAGUGUAGCGGUGAAAUGCGUAGAGAUUUGGAGGAACACCAGUGGCGAAGGCGACUUUCUGGUCUGUAACUGACGCUG
rnacentral:rRNA from 1 species